AGCCGGGCCCUGCGCAACGGCAGGCCGUGAACCCCGCCAGGUCCGGAAGGAAGCAACGGCAGCGGCUGUCGCUGUGUGCCGCAGGUAAACCCGGCUGUC
rfam:Geobacter lovleyi SZ, complete genome.